CUACUUAGGAGGCGACUGGUUUUCCCGCUAAUAUCCGCAAACGCAGCUUUUGCGGUUGGUAGCGGUUGUCGGCGGUUUGUAACAAUCACUCAAAUCGCUCUAAACUAGGCCUGGGCAUUUUAACCUGGACCCGAAGACCCGAACCGGAACCGACCCAAAAAUACCCGACCCGGACCCGAACCGAAAAUUUAUAAGUACCUUUUGGGUCUAAUUUUUUUGUACCCGAAUGGACCUGGAACCGAAAGGAACCGAUCCGAAUAGACCCGGACCCGAAAAGAACCGACCCGAAUAGACCCGACCCGAUAAGAACCGAUUUGUACCCGACUUAGAAACAUUUGAAAUAUCUUUUGUUAACAACAUUUGUUAUUUUUUUGUAAUAUUGUUUAAGUAAUAUAAAGCUUUAAAAUGUAAAAUUUAGAGUUUAAAAAUGUUUUAUGUUAAUUAUUAAUAGUUUCAUUUAGGUUAUUUUGUAAAAUUUUAGAUAUAUAUGACAAAUAUUAACUAAAUUUGAUAGAAUUGGGUAUGUCAUGUCUUUUUUAGAUCCUAAGUACCCGAACCCGACCCGGACCCGAUAUGGACCCGAAAAAUUAUGGAUAUUUUAUGGGUAUUUUAAUUAUAGACCCGAACCGAUCCGGACCCGAAAAGAACCGACCCGAACCCGAACCGAAAAUUUCUAAGUACCUAUUG